rnacentral:rRNA from 1 species
GUGGAUGAGGCAUGCAAGUCGAACGAAACGGGCAACCGUUUAGUGGCGGAAGGGUUAGUAAUACAUGGAUAACUUGCCUUUAACUUUGGGAUAACGAUUGGAAACGAUCGCUAAUACCAAAUGUGGUGGGGUAAUUAAUUUACCUUUAUCAAAGUGGGGGAUCGCAAGACCUCGCGGUUAAAGAGAGGUCCAUGGGAUAUCAGCUAGUUGGUGUGGUAAUGGCGCACCAAGGCUAAGACGUCUAGGCGGAUUGAGAGAUUG